GCUCCGGCGGUGCAGGAUGAGCCCGCGGCCUAUCAGCUUGUUGGUGGGGUGAUGGCCUACCAAGGCGACGACGGGUAGCCGGCCUGAGAGGGCGACCGGCCACACUGGGACUGAGACACGGCCCAGACUCCUACGGGAGGCAGCAGUGGGGAAUAUUGCACAAUGGGCGAAAGCCUGAUGCAGCGACGCCGCGUGAGGGAUGAAGGCCUUCGGGUUGUAAACCUCUUUCAGCAGGGAAGAAGCGCAAGUGACGGUACCUGCAGAAGAAGCACCGGCUAACUACGUGCCAGCAGCCGCGGUAAUACGUAGGGUGCGAGCGUUGUCCGGAAUUAUUGGGCGUAAAGAGCUCGUAGGCGGCUUGUCACGUCGGAUGUGAAAGCCCGGGGCUUAACCCCGGGUCUGCAUUCGAUACGGGCAGGCUGGAGUGUGGUAGGGGAGAUCGGAAUUCCUGGUGUAGCGGUGAAAUGCGCAGAUAUCAGGAGGAACACCGGUGGCGAAGGCGGAUCUCUGGGCCAUUACUGACGCUGAG
rnacentral:rRNA from 1 species